rnacentral:pre_miRNA from 2 species
GAUUUCAGCUGAAAAAGUCAACAACAACAAAGUUGUAUAACUCAUCAAGAUCUAUAAUUUCUAUUUUGGUCAUUUCUUCAUUUGACAAAGUGAUACUAACAUUUUCACAAAAUUUACAUCUCUCUCUUAUAGUUUAUAAAACUAUAUAAUAGAUAUGUACAUUCUGUGAAUAAUCUUACAAAUCACUUUGUCGGAUGAAUAAAUGACCAAAAUAAAAGUUAUAGAUAUUAAUGAGUUACACCAAUUUGUUAUUGACGACUUUUUCAGUUGAAAUC